CGGUGCGCAGAUACUUCUGAACGGUGCUGUACAGCGUCGUCCAGAUAGUCCCGCGAUCUCUUCCAAUUCGAAAUGACAUGGUUCGCGUGCCAUUCGAUUCGCAGACACGCUCUUCAACUCGGAGUCGGUCAGACCAUCGCAGCGACGCCUCCUGCGGGUUUACCGUUCGAACAUGGAGUACGAGCUACGCGAAAAUAGAUCGGCUAACAAGAAGUUGAAGAAGGCCGGGGGACAUCGUCGGUCCGACGAUGAUUCCGACUACGGCAACGAGGACGACGAGGAUGAGGAGGAGGGGGAGGAGAACAACAGGACCAGCGACGACACGAACGUCGGCGACGACGAAGAAGACGACAACGACGAAUACGACGACGACGAAGAGGAGGUGAAGACGGAGCCGCCGCGUUAUUACGAUUACGGUUAGUACACGGUGAACGGUUUCCUCUCGCUUUUCUAGAUCGGCCUCGGGGGCCCUUCGACGGGUCGCCGCGGACCCGGGAAACGCGCUCGGAAGCCGAGGUCCGAUCACGCAGCAUUUGCUUACGAGGGUAAACGAGAGGUCGAUGAACCCGAGCGGGAAGGGACGGCACCCGUCGAGGACGACUGCGACGACGACGACGAUACCACGGAACCGCUGCAAUAUUACGAUUACGAUUCCGGUGGAAAUAGGCCGCGCGAAGUACGCGCUAAAUUCGCGACGCCGCUGAUCACGCUGAACAUUUUGCUGCCGUUCAUCUGGUUUUAACAAAAAAAAAGGGGAAAAAAGAGUUGAAGAUAUUCCGUAAAAAUUGAAGAGAAUAUGUCAAUUUUUGAUGAAGUUUCUUCGCUAUAAUUCGUUCGUUGUGCGUCUGCCACAGAUUCCAAUUCGACGGAGCCUAUAAACGCGCUACUCUAAAAUGUAAUUGUUAUUGUACCAUUCUGACUAAUAAAUGUACCGUCCUUUUUUAA